rnacentral:lncRNA from 1 species
AAAAAUGUGCUUUCGCCUGGCUCUCCUCUUUCCCCUCUUUGGCGGGUGGAGGAGGCCGAAGCGGUGCUGGGUGCGCUCCCCCUUCCUUCCCUCCGCGACUUUCCCGGCCCUCUCGCGCUGCGUGGUCUCUCUGACGCAAGACUGUCCCGGCCCGGAUAUGGCUCGUGGACAGCAGAAGAUUCAGUCUCAGCAAAAAAAUGCCAAAAAGCAGGCUGGACAAAAGAAGAAACAAGGACACGACCAAAAGG